UUGGUUGAUGUUCAACCAACCUUUCCACUGC
rnacentral:sRNA from 1 species